ensembl:lncRNA
GACAGCUGUACAUAAUUAGCCAUUCAGGUAAGAAGGGUCUGGGAUUCCUUUAUGAGGUGCAACCAAAACAGCUGUUAGACAUUGCAACAGGGAUAUUCUGGUAGGGUGUCUGUGUAGCAUUAGUUCUGAAUACGGUUGUGGUUUUGAUCACUAAAAUGGCUGUGACUUUUGGACUCUCUUUGAGUGUUUCUUGGAUUUGUUGCCUGCUAAUUGGAGGGAUAACUUGUUUUCCACUUCAAGGUGAUGCUUAUGGGCAUCCUGCCUGCACUGGACCUGAACCAACUGGAUCCCAAGCAAGUGUGGUGUCUGGUCCAAAUGCUAAAGCUACUGGCUACAAUACCCUGGCAAGUGUGACGCAGGGUCCAAAUGCCACAGCUGAAGCAACUGCCAACCAUGCCUCGUCAGAAGCGUCUGGCCCCCGCGCCUCAGCUGAAGCAACUGCCAGCCAUACCUCUGCAGAAGCGGCCGCCGGCCCCCACGCCUCUGCUGAAGCAACUGCCAACCAUGCCUCGUCAGAAGCGGCUGGCCCCCGCGCCUCAGCUGAAGCAACUGCCAGCCAUACCUCUGCAGUAGCGGCCGCCGGCCCUCGCGCCUCUGCUGAAGCAACUGCCAACCAUGCCUCGUCAGAAGCGGCUGGCCCCCGCGCCUCAGCUGAAGCAACUGCUAAACAUACCUCUGCAGUAGCGGCCGCCGGCCCGCGCGCCUCUGCUGAAGCAACUGCCAACCAUGCCUCGUCAGAAGCGGCUGGCCCCCGCGCCUCAGCUGAAGCAACUGCCAAACAUACCUCUGCAGUAGCGGCCACCGGCCCUCGCGCCUCUGCUGAAGCAACUGCCAAACAUACCUCUGCAGAAGUGGCUGGCCCCCGCGCCUCAGCUGAAGCAACUGCCAAACAUACCUCUGCAGAAGCGGCCGUCGGACCCCGCGCCUCAGCUGAAGCAACUGCUAAACAUACCUCUGUAGAAGCAGCUAGCCCCCGCGCCUCUGCUGAAGCAACUGCCAAACAUACCUCUGCAGAAGCGGCUGGCCCCCGCGCCUCUGCUGAAGCAACUGCCAAACAUACCUCUGCAGAAGCGGCCGGCCUUGAACAGACGGCCCGACCCCUCAACAAGCUAGAUAGGGAGAUCAUAAUUUGGUUUGCCCAACUCCUUAAUCGGCUUUCCCCUGUUACUGUGCCUCCCUUUGAAGAAAAGGGCAAAGGUAACUGAGGUGAGGAAUUGUGCAAACUAAUGCACUUGUUUGAAAUGAGGAUCUCCUUCACUUGCUCAUCGUUAUGCAAAUUGUUUACAGGGGUGAACACUACAAUGGUAUGAUUUUUUUUUUUUUUUCAAAACCAUACGACUAAAAUUUACAUCUGAUUUGGUCACUUGCUGACACUUAGGUUGUACGGUUUUGAUUUGUCCUGGUGUUCCUGCUACUCUUGCAUGAUUUGUUCAAUAAACAAUUUGACUUCCAAAAUGCUUUGUCUUUUAAAUGUGGGCUUCUCUCCUGCCUACCAUAUGCUUGCUGAUUAGGGACAGACUGGGUCUGGAGAAAAAGGGAUUGUGGAUUACACGACUUGUGUAAACAGCUUUGUUUCUGGUAGUUGAGGAAAGGUUGACUGCAUUUCUUGUUUUAAUUCCUCAUUGUUUGCAUAGUCAACAUACACACUUACCCCACCAACAUGCCACCAGGGGUCUUUUCAGUCUCAAUUAAAAGCACAGUGUUAGAGCCAUGAUUGGCUGGAACUCCC